AGAGUUUGAUCCUGGCUCAGGACGAACGCUGGCGGCGUGCUUAACACAUGCAAGUCGAACGGUGACCCGGAGCUUGCUCCGGUGAUCAGUGGCGAACGGGUGAGUAACACGUGGGCAACCUGCCCCUAGCUCUGGGAUAAGCCCGGGAAACCGGGUCUAAUACCGGAUAUGAAAUCGGAAGGCAUCUUCUGAUUUGUAAAGUUUUUCGGCUAGGGAUGGGCCCGCGGCCUAUCAGCUUGUUGGUGGGGUAACGGCCUACCAAGGCGACGACGGGUAGCCGGCCUGAGAGGGCGACCGGCCACACUGGGACUGAGACACGGCCCAGACUCCUACGGGAGGCAGCAGUGGGGMMUAUUGCMCAAWKGGSSRAAASCCUGAUGCAGCGACGCCGCGUGAGGGAUGACGGCCUUCGGGUUGUAAACCUCUUUCAGCAGGGACGAAGCGRRRAGUGACGGUACCUGCAGAAGAAGCACCGGCCAACUACGUGCCAGCAGCCGCGGKRAUACA
rnacentral:rRNA from 1 species